CGCGAACGGCUCAUUAUAACAGCUAUAAUUUACUUGAUCUUGACUUCCUACUUGGAUAACUGUGGUAAUUCUAGAGCUAAUACAUGCACCAAAGCUCCGACCUUACGGGAAGAGCGCAUUUAUUCGAACAAAACCAAGCGGCUUCGGCCGUCCGCAGUUGACUCAGAAUAACUAAGCUGAUCGCAUGGUCUUGAACCGGCGACGUGUCUUUCAAGUAUCUGCCUUAUCAACUUUCGAUGGUAGUGUAUCUGACUACCAUGGUGGUGACGGGUAACGGAGGAUAUGGGUUCGACUCCGGAGAAGGGGCCUGAGAAAUGGCCACUACGUCUAAGGAUGGCAGCAGGCGCGCAAAUUACCCACUCUCAGAAUGAGGAGGUAGUGACGAGAAAUAACGAGACCGUUCUCUACGAGGCCGGUCAUCGGAAUGGGUACAAUUUAAACCCUUUAACGAGUAUCUAUGAGAGGGCAAGUCUGGUGCCAGCAGCCGCGGUAAUUCCAGCU
rnacentral:rRNA from 1 species